rnacentral:rRNA from 1 species
CACGUAGGGCGCAAGCGUUGUCCGGAAUUAUUGGGCGUAAAGAGCUCGUGGGCGGUCUGUUGCGUCUGCUGUGAAAACCCGGGGCUUAACCCCUGGCUUGCAGUGGAUACGGACAGACUAGAGGUAGGUAGGGGAGAAUGGAAUUCCCGGUGUAGCGGUGAAAUGCGCAGAUAUCGGGAGGAACACCGGUGGCGAAGGCGGUUCUCUGGGCCUUACCUGACGCUGAGGAGCGAAAGCGUGGGGAGCGAACAGG